GAUGAAGAACGUAGCGAAAUGCGAUAAGUAAUGUGAAUUGCAGAAUUCAGUGAAUCAUCGAAUCUUUGAACGCACAUUGCGCCCGCUAGUAUUCUGGCGGGCAUGCCUGUCCGAGCGUCAUUUCAACCCUCAAGCCCCCGGGCUUGGUGUUGGGGAUCGGCGAGCCUCCGCGCCCGCCGUCCCCUAAAUCUAGUGGCGGUCUCGCUAUAGCUUCCUCUGCGUAGUAGCACACCUCGCACUGGGAAACAGCGCGGCCACGCCGUUAAACCCCCAACUUCUGAACGUUUGACCUCGGAUCAGGUAGGAAUACCCGCUGAACUUAAGCAUAUCAAUAAGCGGAGGA
rnacentral:misc_RNA from 1 species